rnacentral:snRNA from 1 species
GCUGCUCGCUUGGGCAGCUCAUGCACUAAAACUGGAACGAGAAAUACGGAGAUUAGCAUGGCCCCUGCGCAAGGGUGUCGGGCGGACGUAUGAAGUGAAGUGUUUCCUAUUUAA